AAGAGGGAAUUAGAGUUUUUGGGAAAAAGAUAGUUUUGCCCCUGUGAAUUUGAGAAAUUCCAGUUUCUGUCUUUUGUCAAAAUUACGAAAAUACCCUUAGGAAUUGAGAAAUUCCCUAUAUAUCCCUGAUUUCAGAAAAUAUUAAUUAAUUAAAAGGUUUAGUUGAUUAUUAUUUUUUAUUAUUAUCUAGUAGUCCUACAUGAUGAUGAUUAUUUAUACAUGUGAUGUAUGAUGUGUGGACAGAUGAUCAUGGACCGUGUGAUGUGUGUAUUUGUGAUUAUUAUUAUUGAGGUAUGCGAACCUCCAUUAUAUUUCUCGUUUAUUGUUGGGCCUGCGUGCCUAUGAUUAAGUUGUAAUCACAUGAGGAGGCGCAGCGGGAGCGUGGAUGCGAUAGCGGGACCCACGAGACGGACGAUCGUGAUGCAUGGAGAUGCAUCAAGAUGUCGACGAAACUGACGAGGACGAGAUGGACGAUCAUAGGGCAUGGAGAUGCACCGUUGCACACAUAGAUCUUGAUGUGAGUGAUUAGGCCUACUGACUCGGGCCUAAUCAUAUUAGGUUGUGGUCCAUGAUCAUCUGGUGUGAUUGCUUAUAUACAUACUAGAAAUGUAUAUAUAUUUGCAUGCGAUGUAGAUAUAUAUUAAAUAUGUAUAUGUGUGACAUGUCAUAUUAGGAGACCUAAUCAUAGAAACAUCUCUCGAUAAUAUUAAGUCGGUAAACGUGAGGCAAUUAGAUUGACCCACGUGGCCUUCCAUCGUUAUGAGUAGGAACCGAUUCCCGGUGUAGGUUGAGUUGGUCGAGUCCCUCGAGACUCACCUAUAUCGCGAUUCGCUAUCUUGCUUACGACAUAGAGAUGUCACCGGUGACCUGAGGGCAUGGUAUACUUGGUCGAGUCCCUCGAGGGUAUAUCAUCAAAUCAGAGUCAUCUUGUAACGAAGGUGUUGACUUAACCGAGCAUCAUGGUUGGUCGAGUCCCUCGAGGCCAUGGUGAUUCGGAGGCCGAACAGGACGGGAAUCACAAAGAGUUGUGAUCGGCAAGAGUUGCCUACCUUUUAGGCUUAGUGUGAUUGGUCGAGUCCCUCGAGGUUACACUAAGACGCUGAUUGGAUCUUGAUCCCCACUAGAAUCUGCCGGAGACUUCCGUUUCACGUGCUGAGGGUGUCGCGUGACUCGUUAGUAAAAUAGUGGGAGCAUAUUAAGAUAGAAGUUCAUAUCUUGAUAGUUUAUUUCUUGCAAAAUCUGCAUGUUAUUCAUUUCUGCUACAUCUUUAUUUUCAGAAAAUGUCGCUUUCAAAUCCCUUACGUGACAUACUUGAUGUCAACCGCCUCACUGGUCCAAAUUAUACGGAUUGGCUCCGUAACUUGAGAAUUGUUCUCACAGCGGAGAAAAUCGUGUACGUCCUUGAUACAGUGAUGUCUGCGCCCG
rnacentral:lncRNA from 1 species